rnacentral:rRNA from 1 species
GACGAACGCUGGCGGCGUGCCUAAUACAUGCAAGUAGAACGCAGUUGCGAACGGGUGAGUAACGCGUAGGUAACUGCCUCAUAGCGGGGGAUAACUAUUGGAAACGAUAGCUAAUACCGCAUACUGUGACAUGGACCUGCGUUGUAUUAGCUAGUUGGUGAGGUAAAGGCCCACCAAGGCGACGAUCCAUAGCCGACCUGGGAGGGUGAUCCGCCACCCUGGGACUGGGACACGGCCCCGACUCCUACGGGAAGCCGCAGUUGGGGAACUUCGGCCAUUGGCGGCAGUCUGACCGAGCCACUCCGCGGGAGUGAAGAAGGUUUUCGGAUCUUAAAGCUCUUUUGUUUGGGAAGCGUUAACUAACCAGAAAGGGACGGCUAACUACGUGCCAGCAGCCGCGGUAAUAC